rnacentral:snRNA from 1 species
AUAUUGCCUGGUAGGGGAGAUACCAUGAUUACGAAGGUGGUUUUCCCGGGGUGAGGCUCAUCCGUUGCACUCUAGAUGUGCUGAUCCCUGCAAUGUCCCCAAAUGUGGAAAACUCAACUGCAUAAUUUGUGGUAGUGGGGACUGCGUUCACGCUUUACCAU